GACGAACGCUGGCGGCGUGCUUAACACAUGCAAGUCGAACGAUGACGACCGAGCUUGCUCGGUCUGAUUAGUGGCGAACGGGUGAGUAACACGUGAGCAACCUGCCCUUCACUCUGGGAUAACCUCGGGAAAUCGGGGCUAAUACCGGAUAUGAGCUCCUGUCGCAUGGCGGGUGUUGGAAAGUUUUUCGGUGGAGGAUGGGCUCGCGGCCUAUCAGUUUGUUGGUGGGGUAGUGGCACACCAAGGCGAUGACGGGUAGCCGGCCUGAGAGGGUGAGGGGGAAGAAUGGGAGUAAGAUGCGGCGCGGACUGCGGCGGGAGGCAGCAGGGGGGCGGGUGGCACAGUGGGCUGCAGCCUGAUGACGCAUCGCAGCGGGCGGGAUGACGGACGUCGGGUUGCAAACGGCUUUCGCCGGGGACGAUGCGUGAGUGACGGUAAGGGGUAAAGAAGCACUGGCUAACUACGUG
rnacentral:rRNA from 1 species